rnacentral:lncRNA from 1 species
UGGUUAAAGAAAUUACAGCCACUUUGACCUGAGGCAUUCCCCAAGUAAAAUGGGUACUAAAAUGAAACGUCUUUCAGUCAGUACCCUGAAAUUUCGUGUGCCCAAGAUGUGUGAUCCAUCUUAUCAGAGGGCCUCCUACGUACUGGAUUUGAAUCACGACCUACCAGCAUCAUAGGACCACUCUCACUGCCUGCAUGACCUCCAGUGACUACCACAGAGACGUGGAAAGACAGGGCUUUUGGGUUGAGUAGUCAUGCACCAAUGAGCCCCAACAAGGCCAGUGAAGCUCAGAAGAUGGGUCCCAAUAUUUCCCAGCAGAAUUCCAAUUUACACAGGCCAAUUUAUAAAACUGCCCCAGAAGAUAAACUUCUAGGGAGGGGCCAUUGGAGCACACAGUUCAAAGAAGGCAGGCCAUGUGGCUGAGGCCAGAACAGUACCCUCAGGACCUGGGCCUCCUCUCCCAUAACCCAUCUUCCCUUGUAGGAAAAGGCUCUUAAGGUUGUGACACCUGCCAUUGACUACUUGGGCCUGGAACUGCUUUAACUAUGAUCUUCUAGACAGAAAAGUCCUGCCAGAGAGAGCCAAUCCUGAGCAGGACAAAUUAUACACCAAACACAAAGUCAUCGCCUUCAGCUUCUGAAUUACCCCAAGAGGGGCCACCAAGUCAAGACUGACUCCACCAGGGAUUUGAACCAGGAACCUUGCAGUUGCAAGCCCUGCACCUUAACCAACUGUGCAAAUAGACCACAGGUGUUAAGGAAGGGCAGAAAGCUUUCUUGAGCUGUAAUUUGAAUAGGAAUGCUGCACCCUGAGGCACUGUGGCCUGCCUCAAAGCCGGGUGGGGCUGACGGUCAUCAGCAGCUUCAGCUGCUUCCUUCCCUCAGAGUUGCCCCAGCUGAGGAAAAAAGCCCCUUGCUGAGUCAGUUGAAAAGCCUUGUUCACAGCUGCUGCUGGGCCCUCGUGAGUGCCCCCGUGGCUUUCAGUCGCCAUGUUGACGCUGCCAGAACCACUUGCACGCCUGGGCCACUUCCUGAGCUACUGCCCACACAGGGACCCGUUGCUGGCAGCAAACGCCCCGGGGAGCCUUUUGGCCCUGCGACCUGGGACUGGGGCAUGCCAGAGAGGCCGGCCAGAGCCCCCCGCAGGCUCCGGUUGUGCAUUGCUCCCCUCCGCUGUUUUCUCCAGCCUGGCUGCCCGCUGGGUUCCGCCCCUGGGGCUGGGCUGCCCCCGACCUGCAGGGAGAGAAAGCCCCAGGGGCAGCACUUGCCCUCUGCCCCGCAGGCUCCCUCAGGUUUUGCUCCUAGAGAUGAUAUCCGAAGGAUAGAGAAGGAGACGGAAAGCAGAGAGAGAGCUGGAAGAUCCCUCAAGACUGGGACCAGCUAUAAUCAGGAAUGAUCUAGGAGGCUGACAAUGGAUUCUAGUGCUGGAUCUGCCCCUUGCUAACGUUUGUGAGUAAGCAAUUAACGUUGCUAAGCCUCCCUUGCCUCAGUUAUGUAAAGAAGAUAGC